rnacentral:rRNA from 1 species
GACGAACGCUGGCGGCGUGGAUUAGGCAUGCAAGUCGGACGGUAGGGCUUUAUCGUAAGAUAGAGUUUGAGAGUGGCGAACGGGUGAGUAACACGUAGGAAUCUACCCUUAAGACGGGGACAACCCAGGGAAACUUGGGCUAAUACCGGAUGAGAGUGCGAGAGAUUGCAUUUAAAAGGAUGGCGAAAGUUGUCGCUUAGGGAUGAGCCUGCGGUCUAUUAGUUAGUUGGUGAGGUAAGAACUCACCAAGGCGAUGAUAGAUAGGCGGCCUUAACGGGUGGUCGCCCACACUGGGACUGAGACACGGCCCAGACUCCUACGGGAGGCAGCAGUCGAGAAUAGUCUACAAUGGUCGGAAGACUGAUAGUGCGACGCCGCGUGAACGAUGAAUCCCUUCGGGGUGUAAAGUUCUUUUAUAUGUGAGCAGUGCUUCUUAUAUUAACAGUAUGGGGAGAGAGAUAUUAGCAUAUGAAUAAGCAACGGCUAACUCCGUGCCAGCACG